AGUGAACGCUGGCGGUGUGCCUAACACAUGCAAGUCGAACGGAAGCACAGUAAGCUCUCGCUCUUACCGGUGGCGAGUGGCGGGCGGGUGACAAAUACAUCGGAUUCUACUUUUUCUUGGGUGAUUACGUAGGAACACUUCUGCUACUACCGCAUAUGUCCUACGGCUUAAAGCAGUGGUUCUUCGCACCUUUCGUGUUUCAAUGAGCCGAUGUCGGAUUAGCUAGUUGGCUUGGUAAAGGCCCACCAAGGCGACGCUCCGUAGCUGAUCUGAGAGGAUGAUCAGCCACACUGGAACUGAGACACGGUCCAGACUCCUACGGGAGGCAGCAGUGGGGAAUAUUGGACAAUGGGCGAAAGCCUGACCGAGCCAUACCGCGUGGGUGAAGAAGGCCUUCGGGUCGUAAAGCCCUUUUGUUGGGAAAGAAAAGAAGUAGGUGAAUACCCCGCUGUUCUGACGGUACCUAAAGAAUAAGCACCGGCUAACUUCGUG
rnacentral:rRNA from 1 species